rnacentral:rRNA from 1 species
GGCUCAGGAUGAACGCUAGCUACAGGCUUAACACAUGCAAGUCGAGGGGCAGCAUUUUAGUUUGCUUGCAAACUGAAGAUGGCGACCGGCGCACGGGUGAGUAACACGUAUCCAACCUGCCGAUAACUCCGGAAUAGCCUUUCGAAAGAAAGAUUAAUACCGGAUAGCAUACGAAUAUCGCAUGAUAUUUUUAUUAAAGAAUUUCGGUUAUCGAUGGGGAUGCGUUCCAUUAGUUUGUUGGCGGGGUAACGGCCCACCAAGACUACGAUGGAUAGGGGUUCUGAGAGGAAGGUCCCCCACAUUGGAACUGAGACACGGUCCAAACUCCUACGGGGGGCAGCAGUGAGGAAUAUUGGUCAAUGGGCGAGAGCCUGAACCAGCCAAGUAGCGUGAAGGAUGAAGGCUCUAUGGGUCGUAAACUUCUUUUAUAUGGGAAUAAAGUUUUCCACGUGUGGAAUUUUGUAUGUACCAUAUGAAUAAGGAUCGGCUAACUCCGUGCCAGCAGCCGCGGUAAUACGGAGGAUCCGAGCGUUAUCCGGAUUUAUUGGGUUUAAAGGGAGCGUAGGUGGAUUGUUAAGUCAGUUGUGAAAGUUUGCGGCUCAACCGUAAAAUUGCAGUUGAAACUGGCAGUCUUGAGUACAGUAGAGGUGGGCGGAAUUCGUGGUGUAGCGGUGAAAUGCUUAGAUAUCACGAAGAACUCCGAUUGCGAAGGCAGCUCACUAGACUGUCACUGACACUGAUGCUCGAAAGUGUGGGUAUCAAACAGGAUUAGAUACCCUGGUAGUCCACACAGUAAACGAUGAAUACUCGCUGUUUGCGAUAUACAGUAAGCGGCCAAGCGAAAGCAUUAAGUAUUCCACCUGGGGAGUACGCCGGCAACGGUGAAACUCAAAGGAAUUGACGGGGGCCCGCACAAGCGGAGGAACAUGUGGUUUAAUUCGAUGAUACGCGAGGAACCUUACCCGGGCUUAAAUUGCAACAGAAUAUAUUGGAAACAGUAUAGCCGUAAGGCUGUUGUGAAGGUGCUGCAUGGUUGUCGUCAGCUCGUGCCGUGAGGUGUCGGCUUAAGUGCCAUAACGAGCGCAACCCUUAUCUUUAGUUACUAACAGGUCAUGCUGAGGACUCUAGAGAGACUGCCGUCGUAAGAUGUGAGGAAGGUGGGGAUGACGUCAAAUCAGCACGGCCCUUACGUCCGGGGCUACACACGUGUUACAAUGGGGGGUACAGAAGGCGGCUACCUGGUGACAGGAUGCUAAUCCCAAAAACCUCUCUCAGUUCGGAUCGAAGUCUGCAACCCGACUUCGUGAAGCUGGAUUCGCUAGUAAUCGCGCAUCAGCCAUGGCGCGGUGAAUACGUUCCCGGGCCUUGUACACACCGCCCGUCAAGCCAUGAAAGCCGGGGGUACCUGAAGUACGUAACCGCAAGGAGCGUCCUAGGGUAAAACUGGUAAUU